CCAAAGUGAAAUAAUGUCUUUUAGUUUAAUUGCUUUGCCACCUGUUUUUUUGUUGUUUCUACUUUUGUUUGAUUUGUCUUUUUUUUGCUUCCUGACUUAAGGCACCGAUAAUACGCUGUCAUGUGUACAGUAACAUUCAAGAUGGAACUGGAGGAGCAGGGAACAUAGAGUGAUGGGGAAGAAAAGAGGGAAUCCCGAGCAGAGAAAACUGGGAAAAGAACUAGAGGGAAUGUAAAUGGAAAGGCUAGAGCUACAGAGGCAUCUCGAUCUAUGAGAAAAAGGCCACGAGAAUCAUAGGGGCCUCACUCAGCCUUGUUAUCCCUGAGCUCCUGAAUCAGUGCCAGAAACCACCUGUGGAGUCCUAAUAAGAUAACUCCUUUUAGAAGAAAAUUCAAGAUCUGGCAACACUGUGCCCAAGCUUCUCUAAGGAAGAGAUUGUCAAAGUGUGGUGCCUGGACCAGCAGCAUUAGCAUCACCUGGGACCAGUUAGAAAUGAAGAUGCUCAGGCUCCAUCCCAGACCUGCUGGGGCUGGGGCCCAACAAUCUGUGUUUUAACAGGCUCCCUGUGUGACUGUGAUACGUGAUGCUCCAAGGUAAUUGGCCACUGAAGAAAGUAAAGACUGUUCUACACCUAAGAAGCAAGGACUCAAUUACAGCAUGUGUUACUGCAUUAUAUCAUUUAAAAUAUUCAAAAUUAAUGGAAGGAAUAAACACAGGCUAAAGGAUGAUUUAAAAAAAGAGUUAAAUGCUGGUUUGAAUCCUUACUUUUUAAUACCACUUUUUAAAAAGGUUAUUUUAUUUGCAUGCCAAGUAUCUACAAAAUAAAACAUCUCUUCAUGACCUUUAGAUUUUAUUUUUGAUACCAGAAACAUUUUUCGUGCAGAAGAU
rnacentral:lncRNA from 1 species